UAACACAUGCAAGUCGAACGAAGCACUUAUGUUUGAUUCUUCGGAUGAAGAUAUAUGUGACUGAGUGGCGGACGGGUGAGUAACGCGUGGGUAACCUGCCUCAUACAGGGGGAUAACAGUUAGAAAUGACUGCUAAUACCGCAUAAGCGCACAGGGCCGCAUGGUCUGGUGUGAAAAACUCCGGUGGUGUAAGAUGGACCCGCGUCUGAUUAGGUAGUUGGUGGGGUAACGGCCCACCAAGCCGACGAUCAGUAGCCGACCUGAGAGGGUGACCGGCCACAUUGGGACUGAGACACGGCCCAAACUCCUACGGGAGGCAGCAGUGGGGAAUAUUGGACAAUGGGCGAAAGCCUGAUCCAGCGACGCCGCGUGAGUGAAGAAGUAUUUCGGUAUGUAAAGCUCUAUCAGCAGGGAAGAAAAUGACGGUACCUGACUAAGAAGCCCCGGCUAACUACGUGCCAGCAGCCGCGGUAAUACGUAGGGGGCAAGCGUUAUCCGGAUUUACUGGGUGUAAAGGGAGCGUAGACGGUUAAGCAAGUCUGAAGUGAAAGCCCGGGGCUCAACCCCGGUACUGCUUUGGAAACUGUUUGACUUGAGUGCAGGAGAGGUAAGUGGAAUUCCUAGUGUAGCGGUGAAAUGCGUAGAUAUUAGGAGGACACCAGUGGCGAAGGCGGCUUACUGGACUGUAACUGACGUUG
rnacentral:rRNA from 1 species